GAUGAACGCUAGCUACAGGCUUAACACAUGCAAGUCGCGGGGCAGCAUGGGGGUUGCUUGCAAUCCCCGAUGGCGACCGGCGCACGGGUGAGUAACGCGUAUCCAACCUGCCCUUCACCACGGGAUAACCCGGCGAAAGUCGGACUAAUACCGUAUGUUGUCCAUUGACGGCAUCCGAUUUGGACGAAAGGCUUGGCGGUGAGGGAUGGGGAUGCGUCCGAUUAGCCAGACGGCGGGGUAACGGCCCACCGUGGCUACGAUCGGUAGGGGUUCUGAGAGGAAGGUCCCCCACACUGGAACUGAGACACGGUCCAGACUCCUACGGGAGGCAGCAGUGAGGAAUAUUGAUCAAUGGGCGUAAGCCUGAACCAGCCAAGUAGCGUGCAGGAUGACGGCCCUAUGGGUUGUAAACUGCUUUUAUGCGGGGAUAAAGUGGCCCACGUGUGGGCUUUUGCAGGUACCGCAUGAAUAAGGACCGGCUAAUUCCGUG
rnacentral:rRNA from 1 species